AGGCUCCAGAGUAGGGAUGGGCCACUGGGGCGCUCCCCCCGCGGGUGACAGUGGCAGUGACACCAUGGAAAAUCUCGACCCCGGGGGGGAAUGUCCAGUGUUAGCAUUGCAGAGACUUCCUUUCCCAAGCCCUAGGCAGUGAGGGUCUUGUGAUCCUUCCUCUCGCCUCUCCUUUGGGCGCAGCGGGGUGUUGGGAAGGUUAUAAAUACAGGCAACUGUUUGCUGUAAUCCAUCUCUGUCUGUGGGGAUCAGCAGAGCAUUGGGCUCUUCUUUCCUCAGUCCCGAUUUAUCUCUGAUUGACUCGCCCAUCCUGUGGCCACCAUUCAUAAUCCUCGGCUCGUCGCCUCUCCUACUGAAGUCUCCUUAUAUGCCAAACACCCACGGAUAGCUGCCUUAAAAACAUCAUCCUCUCGAGAUGGAGAGGUGCCAGGGUGGUGGUGCUAGGGGUAGUGGGGCAGCUGCUUUGGAAGCUUCGUUCCCUUCUGCCCUGCCCGGUGGGAGAUGGGUGACUUACUCCAGAGGAGAGCAGGUGGAAAUGGCCAGAUCUGGUAACACACUGUGCUGUGGGAGCCUGGACAUAUAGAGUAUGAGGACCUGGACAUUUGCUCCUGUGCUAUGUACCUAAGGAAGGGAACCAGGCCCUGCAAACCAUGACCAUGUUCCCUGAGCUGCCCCAGAGGUACCUUUGCACAGCACUACGUCCUACCAGCUGGGAAAGGACACUGGUGGGACACGUCUCUGUGGACACCUCAGUUGUCCUCCAGCAUCCCAGCCUGGGCUGCAUCAUGGGGGCUGCUCACUACCCGGCCAGGUUCAACUUUUGUGUCCCCUGGGCUGUCCCUGGCCUCCCGCAAUUGGUGCAAGGGCUCCACAGGGAGUGGUUGUACGGGAAAUGCUCAGCUGAUACCACCACCAGAGGCCAUUUGGGGCACGCUUGCAAAGCAGAGUUGCCAUCUCAUCGCUGUUCCAAUCUGUAGGCAGGAGCAAGUUUGCUGUGACUGUAGAGAUCAGCACUAUCUAGGCCUGAUUGCAUCCUUUUGGGGAAGGGCAGAAGCAGGUGACACCCGAGUUGGGGGCAAGGAUUAGGAGAGCAAUGCAGACUGGAGGAGAAAACAAACACACCCAUGAAAGGGCGGCAGACCAAGCCUGAAAUCUGUCACUGUCAGAGAAAGAGCAACAGCAGCAUCUGUCUAACAGCACAUACUGAUAGGGUAGGAGCUCUUUGUUGGAGUGUGACCUUCAAGCCAUCGCCAGGAAUAGAUUUUGGCUCCGAUUUCAGCUCUAAGUAAAGCACCUUCUCCUGUCACGGUUUUGAAGCGGAGGUAUUUCAGUUUCCAGAAGCAAGCAGAGCUCGCAGGAGGCAGCCGAUGGCCCUGGCAUGGAGGAGGCUCAGAAAACAGCCGGGCUCUGCACUUUGUGAAUGACACGGGGACAAAGAGACUCGAUGGGCAGCAUCCCCCAUGUGCACUGCCUCGCACCAGCUGGUAACGAGGCUGCGUCUUUUCUUCUAGCCUAAACCACAGCACUUCUCUGCAGUGCUGCAAAAAUCCUGGAGCACCUGAAAUUGCCUGAGAUGCUGCUGCAGAAAUCAUAAUCCUGCUCCCCGUGCCACCAGGAGCCUGCUCACACCGAGACUCUCCAGAGAACGAAACCCACAGCAACGCACGGUGCCGGCUGCAGCCGCCCUCUGUACCCACAAGCAGCCUUUCUGUACAGGGCAAUUACAAAACACACAAGAUCAUGGCAAAGCUCCUGGAAAUUAAACUAUUCUUCACGCGUAAUGAACUGUGCGCGUCCUGCACAGCCAUAAAGACAUCAAAAGUAGUGCUAACAACUAAUGUGUGCCAUAAAUACCAACUCAUAUUCAUAGUAUUUUCGCAUGGCCAUUACAACUAAAAUAUAAAUGGAGUUUUUUAUUUCAAACAUUUAAUAUUAAUCAAAUGGUUAUGAAAAUACAUAACAAACUACUGUGACACGCUCAUGGCCUAAAUAAUAAAAAUGAAAUGGGUGAUGAAUUCCUGUGAAAAUUUAAUUUGCAAAAUAAAGAACAUUGCAUUAAUAAGACAUAAUUAUAUCAUCAAAUAUUUACCAUUAUUUUCUGGAAUCCGUUUUAUUUUUAUUUUACAUAAUA